UACCUGCAGCUCAAGUGGUAACCGCUAUUAUUGGGCCUAAAGCGUCCGUAGCCGGUUUGGUAAAUAUCUGGGUAAAUCGUGAGGCUUAACUUCACGAAUUUCGGAUAGACUGCCAGACUUGGGAUCGGGGGAGGUCAGAGGUACUCCAGGGGUAGCGGUGAAAUGUUGUAAUCCUUGGAGGACCACCGGUAGCGAAGGCGUCUGACUAGAACGAGUCCGACGGUGAGGGACGAAGCCCUGGGGCGCAAACCGGAUUAGAUACCCGGGUAGUCCAGGGUGUAAACGAUGUGGGCUUUGUAUUGGAGGUCCCACGUGGGCGUCCAGUGCAGAAGAGAAGUUGUUAAGCCCACCGCCUGGGAAGUACGGUCGCAAGGCUGAAACUUAAAGGAAUUGGCGGGGGAGCACAGCAACGGGAGGAGCGUGCGGUUU
rnacentral:rRNA from 1 species